rnacentral:rRNA from 1 species
UACGUAGGGUGCGAGCGUUAAUCGGAAUUACUGGGCGUAAAGCGUGCGCAGGCGGUUUUGCAAGCCAGAUGUGAAAUCCCCGGGCUUAACCUGGGAAUGGCAUUUGGGACUGCAAGGCUUGAGUGCGGCAGAGGAGACUGGAAUUCCUGGUGUAGCAGUGAAAUGCGUAGAUAUCAGGAGGAACACCAAUGGCGAAGGCAGCACUCUGGGCAGUAACUGACGCUGAGGAGCGAAAGCGUGGGGAGCGAACAGG